rnacentral:rRNA from 1 species
CACCGCGGUUAUACGAGAGGCCCAAGUUGAUAGCCACCGGCGUAAAGCGUGGUUUAAGUAAGACAAUCUAAUAAAGCCGAAGACCCUCAGAGCAGUUAUACGCAUUAGAGAGGCAGGAAGCACAACAACGAAAGUGGCUUUAAACUUCUUGACCCCACGAGAGCUAUGGCA